rnacentral:misc_RNA from 1 species
CACUUCCUCCCAUUCUUAUCUGUUGUACAUCCUUCUCAUCAUGUGGAGGUCGCUCGUUCCACGGAGCUGGAAAAAUCCUGUCUUCUCCCGUACGCAGUACGCUUCUUCUUCAGCCAAUCCCAACGUUCUCUCUCCUUGGAUAUUUCCGGGCGCGUGCGCAUCUCCUGGCAGCAUGCUCUGUACUUGGAAAAAAAUCACGCCGUGGUUAUCUGCAGCCGCCGCACAUGGAGAAGAAAAUCCAGCCGCCGAGAUUUUUGCCGCCGCCGUCGCCCAGCUCGGAUGGAGUCCACCAGCAGCCGCUCAAGCUCUCGUUCUUAUCUCUGCCGCCCUCCCCUGGGAUUUUUUUUGGACGCCGCCGCCCCUGGAUCCUUUAAAUGCACGCGCCGGUCCUUCUUCCCCUCUGCCGGUGGCCAUGGCAGCCGUCUGGCCGGGCUCAACCCCUGCCCAUCUUCCUGGUCGCGACCGCCCAGCUCCCUGCUCGGCGCCCCAAGCUCCCCUGUGCGCGCUCAGCUUGAAGCCUGUCCUCGGCGCCCAGCUUUCCCCAAGUCCGGCCAUCGCCUCACUGGUCGCGCGUCCGAAAUCCCUGCCGAGCAACUCACUUCAGCCCCCAGCUCGGAUCCGCUGCGAGCUCGGUCCGGCCCUUUGCUGCAGCUCACUCUUUCUUUGUUUGCCGCGCGCAGCGUGUCGAGCUCCCGCAUCGCCGGCUUGUUGUCCAUAAAAUUCGCCCAGCCACGGCCUCGACAAACUGCGAAACUCCCUCGCCGUGGGCUCUGGCAUCGGCUACCGCCGAUUCUGCCAUUAAGUUCGCGACCACAACUUGUUCUGUUCGUCUCGCUGUUGGUGAUUUCUCUACGCUUCAAAUCCGUGCUGCUCGCCCCGCAUGCGCUCACUCCUCAUCCAUCGGGUUCUGGCGGGUUCGUGUUUUGCGUCGACUCGUCAAACCCGUCAUCCUCUGCUCAACCCCACUUCGUCAGUUCGCUCCAGACAUAAUCCCGUCGCCGUUCUGUGCGUCGGGUGAAGACGAAGCUAGCCGAGUAAUAUUCACCGAGUGCACGACAGAAAGCUCGAACCAGUCGUCAAUCGCCUCGACAACAACCAUAUCCACGACUCCCGCCGUUCCAAUAAUUUUGCCGCAUCGCCCUUCAAAUCCGAGACCUCGUCCGUAGGAUCGUCGUUGACCUCGCAACUUCAACUCGAGUUAAUUAUGGUAAGUUGAUUUAUUAUUCCCGUCAACUAAAUAAAUGGUAGGAUUAAAUAGAAAAAUUGAUUGCGAUGAUUCUCUUGUUUAUUACUCGAUGUAGAGAUUAAGUUGAAUUUUAGGGUUAUGCGAUAAGUAUAUUAGUAGAUAUAUAUAAUACACAGGUUAACCGGUAAAUUAGUUUAGAAAGUUAAUGAAAGUU